GCUCCUGCUCCUGCCUCAACUUUCCAAAGUGCUGGGAUUAUAAGUGCACGCCAUCAUGCCCGACCUGACUUGAUGACUUCUUAAGAUUCAGUGAAGCCUGACUCAUUGCUCCAGCUGGAGAGUUGAUUAUGACACAAUGCCUGCCUUGAAGAGGGUAUCUCCAUCUCUUCCCCAUUUUCAUGGAUAUCAAGUGUUUCAUAGAUAUCUGGCUCCACAUGCCAAGUUGUGGGAAGAUUUAACUCCCAACUUAAUAUGAAAUCAAGGAUGCAAUUUCUGAUUAAGCCAGUAAAUUUUGCACAGGAAAUACUCCUUGUUCUACAGCUACAUCCUGUGUAUCUCAUGCUAGCCUUUGCCAGCAAAUAUUAGUCCUUGGUUUUAAGAAAGAUUCAGGGGAAAAAAUUGCUCAACUCUGGAAAAAUAAAAACAAGAGUCCUCCUGGGGUCAGAGAAAAUUGAUUUGAUUUAUUCUGCAACAACUUCUUACUAGACAGCGGAGAGAAGAGUGCAAGAAUCUCUGGGUCAGAAGACCUCACUUAAUCUCUCAAGGUCUCAGUGCCCUUAUGAGGAGUUGAACCACAUGAUUAAUAAGUUUUUGACUCCUGUAUUUAUGAUUUUUAACACUCAUGGAAUUGUUAGGGUGGCCUAAUGGGUAAACAUAAAUCUUGCCACGUAUAAUCUGCCUGACUUUGCCCCAAACUUUUAAAAGCACAUGAAUAUGAGCCAAUAAAUCUAAAUUAUAGUAUACUGCACAUUUGCUGUGAGAAAUUUCCUAUUAUCACUGCCUUUAUGUAAAUGAUUGCUCAUAAUGUUAGUAGACAAACCACUUAAUAAUUUCCAGGCCAGUGAACUUUUGCCCCACUUCAAAAUAAAGUUGUUAUUCUCCUUUCAAUAGAAGCUUAGGAUACGUCAAGCCUAAUGAGAGUAAGUUAGUAGGAAAAAAAGGCUAUGUCAUCUGUAGAGGUGAUAACAAGAUCAGAUCAAGUGGUUCCAAGUGUUUUAUUUUCUACCACAUGCCUUCAUAUGAGUUCAUCUCAAUGAAUACUGUUUGAGUGGUCAGAGAGCUACCAUAAAGAUGCUCUAUCUAAGACCGUAUGAAGAAUUUUUUUUAAGAAUAAAGUUCAUGGUAACUUUAAGGUAACAUUCUCAGGGGGGAAAACAUUUCCAAAUAUCUGUAUUGCAAACUGCCAAGAACAGGGAUCCAGUCUUGAUCCCUCCGCUGAUAUGCUCUGGGACUGGAAACAAGUCAAUUUCUCCCUCCCUCAAGGUCUUAAAAUUAAUGUUUUA
rnacentral:lncRNA from 1 species